GACGAACGCUGGCGGCGUGCUUAACACAUGCAAGUCGAACGGAAAGGCCCUGCUUUUGUGGGGUGCUCGAGUGGCGAAAGGGUGAGUAACACGUGAGUAACCUGCCCUUGACUUUGGGAUAACUUCAGGAAACUGGGGCUAAUACCGGAUAGGAGCUCCUGCUGCAUGGUGGGGGUUGGAAAGUUUCGGCGGUUGGGGAUGGACUCGCGGCUUAUCAGCUUGUUGGUGGGGUAGUGGCUUACCAAGGCUUUGACGGGUAGCCGGCCUGCGAGGGUGACCGGCCACAUUGGGACUGAGAUACGGCCCAGACUCCUACGGGAGGCAGCAGUGGGGAAUAUUGCACAAUGGGCGGAAGCCUGAUGCAGCAACGCCGCGUGGGGGAUGACGGCCUUCGGGUUGUAAACCGCUUUCGCCUGUGACGAAGCGUGAGUGACGGUAAUGGGUAAAGAAGCACCGGCUAACUACGUG
rnacentral:rRNA from 1 species